UACGUAGGUCCCGAGCGUUGUCCGAAUUUAUUGGGCGUAAAGCGAGCGCAGGUGGUUUAUUAAGUCUGGUGUAAAAGGCAGUGGCUCAACCAUUGUAUGCAUUGGAAACUGGUAGACUUGAGUGCAGGAGAGGAGAGUGGAAUUCCAUGUGUAGCGGUGAAAUGCGUAGAUAUAUGGAGGAACACCGGUGGCGAAAGCGGCUCUCUGGUCUGUAACUGACGCUGAGGUUCGAAAGCGUGGGUAGCAAAUAGG
rnacentral:rRNA from 1 species